rnacentral:misc_RNA from 1 species
GUUCGAUCCGAAGGAAGCCGGCGUGACUUUCCUCGAACUGCCGCCCGGUGCACAGGCCGCCGCCGUCAAGGAUGGCCGCGCCGAUCUGGCGAUCGCAUUCGACUGGGACGCCAGUAUCGGCGUCACCCAGUUCGGGCUGGAGGUGGUCUACUCAUUCGCUGACAUUCUCGGGCCGAUCGCCUUCUCGUCCGUCUUCGUCACCGA